ACGGAAGGCAGCAGUGGGGAAUAUUGGACAAUGGGGGAAACCCUGAUCCAGCGACGCCGCGUGAGUGAAGAAGUAUUUCGGUAUGUAAAGCUCUUUAAGCAGGAAAGAAAAUGACGGUACCUGCAGAAUAAGCCCCGGCUAACUACGUGCCAGCAGCCGCGGUAAUACGUAGGUGGCAAGCGUUAUCCGGAUUUACUGGGUGUAAAGGGCGCGUAGGCGGGAAAGCAAGUCAGAUGUGAAAUCCAUGGGCUCAACUCAUGAACUGCAUUUGAAACUGUUUUUCUUGAGUGUCGGAGAGGUAGAUGGAAUUCCUAGUGUAGCGGUGAAAUGCGUAGAUAUUAGGAAGAACACCAGUGGCGAAGGCGAUCUACUGGACGAUAACUGACGCUGAGGCGCGAAAGCGUGGGGAGCAAACAGGAUUAGAUACCCUGGUA
rnacentral:rRNA from 1 species